GACCCGAAACCGAUCGACCUAGCCAGGAGCAGGUUGGAGAGAGCUCUAAAUGGAGGACCGAACCAACAUAUGUGGCAAAAUAUGGGGAUGACUUGUGGCUAGGGGGUGAAAGGCCAACCAAGAUUGGAUAUACCUGA
rfam:Nicotiana attenuata strain TT chromosome 2, whole genome shotgun sequence.